rnacentral:rRNA from 1 species
ACGGGUGAGUAACGCGUGGGAAACUACCCUUUGGUACGGAAUAACACAGAGAAAUUUGUGCUAAUACCGUAUGUGCCCUUCGGGGGAAAGAUUUAUCGCCAUAGGAUGUGCCCGCGUAGGAUUAGCUAGUUGGUGUGGUAAUGGCGCACCAAGGCGACGAUCCUUAGCUGGUCUGAGAGGAUGAUCAGCCACAUUGGGACUGAGACACGGCCCAAACUCCUACGGGAGGCAGCAGUGGGGAAUAUUGGACAAUGGGCGCAAGCCUGAUCCAGCCAUGCCGCGUGAGUGAUGAAGGCCUUAGGGUUGUAAAGCUCUUUCACCCACGACGAUAAUGACGGUAGUGGGAGAAGAAGCCCCGGCUAACUUCGUGCCAGCAGCCGCGGUAAUACGAAGGGGGCUAGCGUUGUUCGGAAUCACUAGGCGUAAAGCGCGCGUAGGCGGACCGUUAAGUCGGAGGUGAAAGCCUGGAGCUCAACUCCAGAACUGCCUUCGAUACUGGCGGUCUCGAGUCCGGGAGAGGUGAGUGGAACUGCUAGU